rnacentral:rRNA from 1 species
GAUGAACGCUGGCGGCGUGCUUAACACAUGCAAGUCGAACGGUGAAAGAGGAGCUUGCUCCUCUGGAUCAGUGGCGAACGGGUGAGUAACACGUGAGCAAUCUGCCCCUGACUCUGGGAUAACAGCUGGAAACAGCUGCUAAUACCGGAUACGAGACGUGAUCGCAUGAUCAACGUCUGGAAAGAACUUCGGUCAGGGAUGAGCUCACGGCCUAUCAGCUUGUUGGUGAGGUAAUGGCUCACCAAGGCGACGACGGGUAGCCGGCCUGAGAGGGUGACCGGCCACACUGGGACUGAGACACGGCCCAGACUCCUACGGGAGGCAGCAGUGGGGAAUAUUGCACAAUGGGCGCAAGCCUGAUGCAGCAACGCCGCGUGAGGGACGACGGCCUCGGUUGUAACGUACUUAGUCUACGAAGAAGACGAAGUAGACGGUACGUU